rnacentral:rRNA from 1 species
AUUGAACGCUGGCGGCAUGCCUUACACAUGCAAGUCGAACGGUAACGCGGGGCAACCUGGCGACGAGUGGCGAACGGGUGAGUAAUGCAUCGGAACGUGCCCAGUAGUGGGGGAUAGCCCGGCGAAAGCCGGAUUAAUACCGCAUACGACCUACGGGUGAAAGCGGGGGACUCGCAAGAGCCUCGCGCUAUUGGAGCGGCCGAUGUCAGAUUAGGUAGUUGGUGGGGUAAAAAGCCUACCAAGCCGACGAUCUGUAGCUGGUCUGAGAGGACGACCAGCCACACUGGGACUGAGACACGGCCCAGACUCCUACGGGAGGCAGCAGUGGGGAAUUUUGGACAAUGGGCGCAAGCCUGAUCCAGCCAUGCCGCGUGCGGGAAGAAGGCCUUCGGGUUGUAAACCGCUUUGUUCAGGGAAGAAACGGACU